AGUGAACGCUGGCGGUAGGCCUAACACAUGCAAGUCGAACGGCAGCACAGGAGAGCUUGCUCUCUGGGUGGCGAGUGGCGGACGGGUGAGGAAUACAUCGGAAUCUGCCCAGUCGUGGGGGAUAACGUAGGGAAACUUACGCUAAUACCGCAUACGACCUUCGGGUGAAAGAGGGGGAUCGCAAGACCUCUCGCGAUUGGAUGAGCCGAUGUCGGAUUAGCUAGUUGGCGGGGUAAUGGCCCACCAAGGCGGCGAUCCGUAGCUGGUCUGAGAGGAUGAUCAGCCACACUGGAACUGAGACACGGCCCAGACUCCUACGGGAGGCAGCAGUGGGGAAUAUUGGACAAUGGGCGCAAGCCUGAUCCAGCCAUACCGCGUGGGUGAAGAAGGCCUUCGGGUUGUAAAGCCCUUUUGUUGGGAAAGAAAUCUUUCAGGCUAAUACCCUGGGAGGAUGACGGUACCCAAAGAAUAAGCACCGGCUAACUUCGUG
rnacentral:rRNA from 1 species